rnacentral:rRNA from 1 species
GACGAACCGUGCAAACGUUGUUCGGAAUCACUGGGCUUAAAGGGCGCGUAGGCGGCUUCCCAAGUCCGGGGUGAAAUCUUUCGGCUUAACCGGAAAAGUGCCUUGGAUACUGGGAGGCUCGAGGGGGGUAGGGGCAAGCGGAACUUCCGGUGGAGCGGUGAAAUGCGUUGAUAUCGGAAGGAACGCCGGCGGCGAAAGCGGCUUGCUGGACCCCAUCUGACGCUGAUGCGCGAAAGCCAGGGGAGCAAAGCGGG